CGUAGUUUUUAUUAUAUACUAUUUAUGUUUAAGUUUCAACUUUGAACCUUACAUUUUUUUCUAGGGGACUGUAAACUACUUGGUAAAAUAGAAGGGGUAUAGCUCCUUUGAGAAUACUUGGGAGCCAGAGGAGUACAUUUCUCAAGCUUUCUUAAGGUAAGCUUCCAAUAAAUCCUACUACAAAGCAGGUGGCUUCUGUGAAUGUUUAGUAAUGACUAUAUAUUUGGGUUAAUUAAGAAGUUAUUAAGAUUCUCACGUGCAAUUUUUAGUUAGUGCAAGAACAAAUAUCUCUUUAUAUGUACCAAAUAUGGCGACUUUCACACCCUACCAUAGCUAGAGAUAUUGAUUAAACCAUUCAACUAGUUACUGUUAAUUAAAACAUAUAUUAGGAUACAUGUUUAUUCUUAUCUCAAUCCUAGGUAUUUUAGCAAGCCUUGUCCACCAUCAGAGGUCAUUGAGUAGUGCGUGGACAAGAUGAGAAUCGAGGUGAUGCUCGCACUCAAGCACAAAGCGCCUGAACAAAAGUUAACGUUGGAGUUCAGACAUGACGUGUAUGGCUUUUCGUUUAAUGGAUAAGGGAAGACAGCAGAGCAACGUGGCUGGAUGCUGUUUGAGGAGAGCGACUUUGAAAAAUGUAAAUUGCCUCCCACCUGGUUUUGUAUUCAUGAUCAACAUGGAGAUGAGACAAAAGUCAGAUUCCCGGUCAAGAUGAGAACAUUUCUAGGCAACUCACCUAGAAAUUUUACUAACAAAGGGGGUGAAAUUGUGGAACUGCCUCGCUCCUUUAUAGAAAAGAUGUCGAUAAAAUGUAUUAAAAUUGCAUCUUCUUGUUCAUAGUAUACCUGUACAUUUGCUUAAUACAUUCUUUGUAAGUGGCCAUGGUGAUCAUAUAAAUAUUUCUUUGGUUUUUGGGAACAUGACAUAUAGUUUAUUAUCGCAGAGCUUUCAAUUAUAUUUAUAACACUAAUCAUAACAUUUUCAUUCAUCAGAUGUUAUUAGCACUGAUGAAGAUCCAGGCUUACAGAUUUCAAUCUCUGCAAUAAUAAAUAUAGUGAUGUUUCCACAUACCAAAGAAAUAUUUAUACAUGUGCUUAUUUAAGAAAGCAAUGCUUUCAAUUUAAAGCUAUCUCACUUGUCCAGUCAGUCCAUGUUUGGAUUGUUUGGAUAAGUGGGAUAGCUUUUAUCAAGCACCUUUUUGGAACAAAAGCAUACUAAAUUUACACCAUCUUUGCACAGGUAUAUUGAGAUGUUGACUUAAAUUGUAUUCCUAUAAUGUAAAGGUUAUGUAUAUACAAAACUAAACUAGCUUAUUUACAGUAUCCAUAUCAGUCAUAUACCUCAAAUUGUUCUUUAUGUACAGAAAUUGUUUUCUGUUGUUUAUAGAUG